rnacentral:rRNA from 1 species
UACGUAGGGGGUAAGCGUUGUCCGGAUUUAUUGGGCGUAAAGAGCGUGUAGGCGGCCAUGUAGGUCCGUUGUGAAAACUCGAGGCUCAACCUCGAGACGCCGAUGGAAACCAUGUGGCUAGAGUCCGGAAGAGGAGAGUGGAAUUCCUGGUGUAGCGGUGAAAUGCGCAGAUAUCAGGAAGAACACCCGUGGCUAAGGCGGCUCUCUAGUACGGUACUGACGCUGAGACGCGAAAGCGUGGGGAGCGAACAGG